rnacentral:tRNA from 1 species
GUACCUGUAGCUCAGCUGGAUAGAGCGUCUGACUACGGAUCAGAAGGCCAGGGGUUCGAAUCCCUUCAGGUACACCA